rnacentral:rRNA from 1 species
GAGAACUUAGCAGAGAUGCUUUGGUGCCUUCGGGAACUCUGAGACAGGUGCUGCAUGGCUGUCGUCAGCUCGUGUUGUGAAAUGUUGGGUUAAGUCCCGCAACGAGCGCAACCCUUAUCCUUUGUUGCCAGCGGUUCGGCCGGGAACUCAAAGGAGACUGCCGGUGAUAAACCGGAGGAAGGUGGGGAUGACGUCAAGUCAUCAUGGCCCUUACGGCCAGGGCUACACACGUGCUACAAUGGCGCAUACAAAGAGAAGCGACCUCGCGAGAGCAAGCGGACCUCAUAAAGUGCGUCGUAGUCCGGAUUGGAGUCUGCAACUCGACUCCAUGAAGUCGGAAUCGCUAGUAAUCGUAGAUCAGAAUGCUACGGUGAAUACGUUCCCGGGCCUUGUACACACCGCCCGUCACACCAUGGGAGUGGGUUGCAAAAGAAGUAGGUAGCUUAACCUUCGGGAGGGCGCUUACCACUUUGUGAUUCAUGACUGGGGUGAAGUCGUAACAAGGUAGGCGUAGCGAG